GACAAUGAUCAUCAGACAGUGGUA
rnacentral:siRNA from 1 species